rnacentral:rRNA from 1 species
GACGAACGCUGGCGGCGUGCUUAACACAUGCAAGUCGAACGGUAAGGCCCUUCGGGGUACACGAGUGGCGAACGGGUGAGUAACACGUGGGUGAUCUGCCCUGCACUUCGGGAUAAGCCUGGGAAACUGGGUCUAAUACCGGACAGGACCACUGCCUGCAUGGGGGGUGGUGGAAAGCUUUUGCGGUGUGGGAUGGGCCCGCGGCCUAUCAGCUUGUUGGUGGGGUGAUGGCCUACCAAGGCGACGACGGGUAGCCGGCCUGAGUGGGUGACCGGCCACACUGGGACUGAGAUACGGCCCAGACUCCUACGGGAGGCAGCAGUGGGGAAUAUUGCACAAUGGGCGCAAGCCUGAUGCAGCGACGCCGCGUGAGGGAUGACGGCCUUCGGGUUGUAAACCUCUUUUAGUAGGGAAGAAGCGAAAGUGACGGUACUUGCAGAAAAAGCACCGGCUAACUACGUGCCAGCCGCCGCCGUAA